rnacentral:ncRNA from 1 species
CUAUUAAGCGCCAGAACUUAACAAAGAUAGAGUUUUUAGUAGUAUUGGGGGUUAAGUUGACGAGGACAGAGUUAAUCGAUUUUUCGGCGGAUGCUCUGCGGUGUGUUUACCAUCGUGAAAGUUUUCUUAAAUCAUAGAAGCGAUUUUAUGGACAAAGGAAAACUU